rnacentral:rRNA from 1 species
CGCGUGUACUGGUCCGGCCGGGCCUUUCCCUCUGUGGAACCCCAUGCCCUUCACUGGGUGUGGCGGGGAAACAGGACUUUUACUGUGAAAAAAUUAGAGUGCUCCAGGCAGGCCUAUGCUCGAAUACAUUAGCAUGGAAUAAUAGAAUAGGACGUGUGGUUCUAUUUUGUUGGUUUCUAGGACCGCCGUAAUGAUUAAUAGGGACAGUCGGGGGCAUCAGUAUUCAAUUGUCAGAGGUGAAAUUCUUGGAUUUAUUGAAGACUAACUACUGCGAAAGCAUUUGCCAAGGAUGUUUUCAUUAAUCAGGAACGAAAGUUAGGGGAUCGAAGACGAUCAGAUACCGUCGUAGUCUUAACCAUAAACUAUGCCGACUAGGGAUCGGACGGUGUUAUAUUUUGACCCGUUCGGCACCUUACGAGAAAUCAAAGUGCUUGGGCUCCAGGGGGAGUAUGGUCGCAAGGCUGAAACUUAAAGAAAUUGACGGAAGGGCACCACCAGGGGUGGAGCCUGCGGCUUAAUUUGACUCAACACGGGGAAACUCACCAGGGUCCAGACACAAUGAGGAUUGACAGAUUGAGAGCUCUUUCUUGAUUUUGUGGGUGGUGGUGCAUGGCCGUUCUUAGUUGGUGGAGUGAUUUGUCUGCUUAAUUGCGAUAACGAACGAGACCUUAACCUGCUAAAUAGCCCGUAUUGCUUUGGCAGUACGCUGGCUUCUUAGAGGGACUAUCGG